rnacentral:lncRNA from 1 species
AAAUUCUAAAACUACAAGCAGAGAGAAUUGGGAACCUAGCCUAAGCACACUGCCUGUCACCCAGUGCACAUACCUAUUCUAUUUUACAAAACUCGUUUAUAUAGGAGAAAACAAAAACGGAAAAGAUGAAAAGAGGGGGAAAGGGGGGAGAAUCUGAAACAAACUUGGAAGCUUCUUGAGUCAACUCCUUCAACUAACUCUGACCGCGACAGCUUCACUUCGUUCUCCAACCGACAAUCCAGUUCAGCACAACUCACUAGACCGAACAACACCUUGGGUUGGCUUCAUUUGGGCCAUGGAGCUCGCGUCAAUGCUUCACUGCAUCACUUCUUCUUUUGCACUUGAGGAACCCUUGCUCGAGGGUUGAGAGAAUUUGGGGAAAGAAACUUCAAUUGAUUUUACCCCUUUUCGCACAAAUGAUAAGGACUCAGCAGUUCUGCCCCAUUUUCGCAGCAUGAAUCGAUGUGUUUCACUUACUCA